GACGAACCGUGCGAACGUUGUUCGGAAUCACUGGGCUUAAAGGGCGCGUAGGCGGCUUCGCAAGUCCGGGGUGAAAGCCCCCAGCUCAACUGGGGAAGUGCCUUGGAUACUGCGGGGCUCGAGGGAGGUAGGGGUGUGUGGAACUUCCGGUGGAGCGGUGAAAUGCGUUGAUAUCGGAAGGAACGCCGGUGGCGAAAGCGACGCACUGGACCUCUUCUGACGCUGAGGCGCGAAAGCCAGGGGAGCAAACAGG
rnacentral:rRNA from 1 species